GCACGCCGUAUGCGGUGAAAGUCGCACGUACGGUGUAGGCUCCAAACGAAAACUGAUUUUUCAGUAUAAGUGGAGAAUAGCCACAAAACAUUUGAAGUAAUAGGCAUUGAGUAAUCCCAAUGCAUAAGGGUUAGCCUUUAAUCGGCU
rnacentral:ncRNA from 1 species